rnacentral:rRNA from 1 species
UACGAACCGUACAAACGUUAUUCGGAAUCACUGGGCUUAAAGGGUGCGUAGGCGGCCACGUAAGUGAGAUGUGAAACCCCUCGGCUCAACCGAGGAAGUGCAUUUCAUACUGCAUGGCUUGAGGGAGACAGGGGUAAGCGGAACUGAUGGUGGAGCGGUGAAAUGCGUUGAUAUCAUCAGGAACACCGGUGGCGAAAGCGGCUUACUGGGUCUCUUCUGACGCUGAGGUACGAAAGCUAGGGUAGCGAACGGG